rnacentral:rRNA from 1 species
GAUUGUAAACCUCUUUUGCCGGGGAGCAACGGGGUCCUUGCGAGGGCCCUAUGAGAGUACCCGGAGAAAAAGCAUCGGCUAACUCCGUGCCAGCAGCCGCGGUAAUACGGAGGAUGCGAGCGUUGUCCGGAUUUAUUGGGUUUAAAGGGUGCGUAGGCGGGCUGUUAAGUCAGCGGUCAAAUGUCGGGGCUCAACCCCGGCCUGCCGUUGAAACUGGCGGCCUCGAGUGGGCGAGAAGUAUGCGGAAUGCGUGGUGUAGCGGUGAAAUGCAUAGAUAUCACGCAGAACUCCGAUUGCGAAGGCAGCAUACCGGCGCCCUACUGACGCUGAGGCACGAAAGCGUGGGUAUCGAACAGGAUUAGAUACCCUGGUAGUCCACGCAGUAAACGAUGAAUGCUAGCUGUCCGG